CUGUCAUAUUCAACCCAUAUCAAGUAGCAUGUACACAAUUUCAAUAUCAUCAUGUCAUUUAAAGCACCAUUUACACAGGGAAUACAACAUUUAAUUACACAGGAAUACAUCAUCUACACAAUUUGCCUUAACUUACUACAUCACAUUGUUCAACUCGUAUUAGCACAUCUGGUACUGUCCUACAAGAACAUAACAUUGUUCAACUCGUACAAGUAGUAAAAACUUCAUUGUUCCCUCUGAUGUGCUCCAGAUGCGACAACUUGCCUUCCUACAAGAACAUAACAUUACAUGAAUUGAUCAAUCAAGGAGGAAAGGGAAAAAAAUAGGCUCAAAGCAUCACGCAUACAAAUAAUAACAUAAUACAUUAAUGUAUAAUGUAAUAAAAAAUAUGUAUAAUCAGGGCAAUUUCUAGCCAACAUGCGUACAUGAAUCAGAGUAGAACUAGCAAGAGGUAUAAUUAGCGGCAAACAACAAGUAUCAGUCAAAGCAGUACCAAGUAACUGGCAGCAAGCUCUCAAACAGGCAAUGCUAAUGUUUUGGCACAAUUGCUAGAAGUACAUGUUAUUUUGGAAAAGUGAGUAAGAGCUAUGAUAUUUUCCUAUAUGUACUUUCUGAUUUUCUUAGUCAUAUAGUGAUCUGCUCAUUUCAGUUCUAUCUACUCACCCCAUUCACAUGCAACAUAAGAAGCUGGUGUAGAACGCCAUCUUAACCACAUUCGCAGCAACGGAAGCAACAUAAACUGGUGUAGAGAAAGAGG
rnacentral:lncRNA from 1 species